GAAAUCCCGUCGGAAUCUGGGAGGACCAUCUCCCAACCCUAAAUACUCCCUAGUGACCGAUAGUGAACCAGUACCGUGAGGGAAAGGUGAAAAGCACCCCGGGAGGGGAGUGAAAUAGAACCUGAAACCGUGCGCCUACAACAAGUUCGAGCCCGUUAAUGGGUGAGAGCGUGCCUUUUGUAGAAUGAACCGGCGAGUUACGUUAUGAUGCGAGGUUAAGUUGAAGAGACGGAGCCGUAGGGAAACCGAGUCUGAAUAGGGCGCCUUAGUAUCAUGACGUAGACCCGAAACCAUGUGACCUACCCAUGAGCAGGUUGAAGGUGCGGUAAGACGCACUGGAGGACCGAACCAGGGCACGUUGAAAAGUGCUUGGAUGACUUGUGGGUAGCGGAGAAAUUCCAAACGAACUUGGAGAUAGCUGGUUCUCUCCGAAAUAGCUUUAGGGCUAGCGUCGACAUUAGAGAUUCUUGGAGGUAGAGCACUGUUUGGGUGAGGGGUCCAUCCCGGAUUACCAAUCUCAGAUAAACUCCGAAUGCCAAUGAAUUAUGGUCGGCAGUCAGACUGCGAGUGCUAAGAUCCGUAGUCGAAAGGGAAACAGCCCAGACCACCAGCUAAGGUCCCAAAAUAAUUGUUAAGUGGAAAAGGAUGUGGGGUUGCACAGACAACUAGGAUGUUAGCUUAGAAGCAGCUAUUCAUUCAAAGAGUGCGUAAUAGCUCACUAGUCGAGUGACCCUGCGCCGAAAAUGUACCGGGGCUAAAACAAUUUACCGAAGCUGUGGAUACCUUUAUAGGUAUGGUAGGAGAGCGUUCUAUGUGUGAUGAAGGUAUACCGUGAGGAGUGCUGGAACGCAUAGAAGUGAGAAUGCCGGUAUGAGUAGCGAAAGACAGGUGAGAAUCCUGUCCACCGUAAGACUAAGGUUUCCAGGGGAAGGCUCGUCCGCCCUGGGUUAGUCGGGACCUAAGGAGAGACCGAAAGGUGUAUCCGAUGGACAACAGGUUGAUAUUCCUGUACUAGAGUAUGUAGUGAUGGAGGGACGCAGUAGGCUAACUAAAGCAGACGAUUGGAAGAGUCUGUCUAAGCAGUGAGGUGUGAAUUGAGUCAAAUGCUUAAUUCUAUAACAUUGAGCUGUGAUGGGGAGCGAAGUUUAGUAGCGAAGUUAGUGACGUCACACUGCCAAGAAAAGCUUCUAGCGUUUAAACAUACUCUACCCGUACCGCAAACCGACACAGGUAGUCGAGGCGAGUAGCCUCAGGUGAGCGAGAGAACUCUCGUUAAGGAACUCGGCAAAAUGACCCCGUAACUUCGGGAGAAGGGGUGCUGACUUAAAGUCAGCCGCAGUGAAUAGGCCCAAGCAACUGUUUAUCAAAAACACAGCUCUCUGCUAAAUCGUAAGAUGAUGUAUAGGGGGUGACGCCUGCCCGGUGCUGGAAGGUUAAGAGGAGUGCUUAGCGUAAGCGAAGGUAUGAAUUGAAGCCCCAGUAAACGGCGGCCGUAACUAUAACGGUCCUAAGGUAGCGAAAUUCCUUGUCGGGUAAGUUCCGACCCGCACGAAAGGCGUAAUGAUUUGGGCACUGUCUCAACGAGAGACUCGGUGAAAUUUUAGUACCUGUGAAGAUGCAGGUUACCCGCGACAGGACGGAAAGACCCCAUGGAGCUUUACUGCAGUUUGAUAUUGAGUGUCUGUACCACAUGUACAGGAUAGGUAGGAGUCUAAGAGAUCGGGACGCCAGUUUCGAAGGAGACGCUGUUGGGAUACUACCCUUGUGUUAUGGCCACUCUAACCCAGAUAGGUGAUCCCUAUCGGAGACAGUGUCUGACGGGCAGUUUGACUGGGGCGGUCGCCUCCUAAAAGGUAACGGAGGCGCCCAAAGGUUCCCUCAGAAUGGUUGGAAAUCAUUCGCAGAGUGUAAAGGUAUAAGGGAGCUUGACUGCGAGAGCUACAACUCGAGCAGGGACGAAAGUCGGGCUUAGUGAUCCGGUGGUUCCGUAUGGAAGGGCCAUCGCUCAACGGAUAAAAGCUACCCUGGGGAUAACAGGCUUAUCUCCCCCAAGAGUUCACAUCGACGGGGAGGUUUGGCACCUCGAUGUCGGCUCGUCGCAUCCUGGGGCUGUAGUCGGUCCCAAGGGUUGGGCUGUUCGCCCAUUAAAGCGGCACGCGAGCUGGGUUCAGAACGUCGUGAGACAGUUCGGUCCCUAUCCGUCGCGGGCGUAGGAAAUUUGAGAGGAUCUGCUCCUAGUACGAGAGGACCAGAGUGGACUUACCGCUGGUGUACCAGUUGUCUUGCCAAAGGCAUCGCUGGGUAGCUAUGUAGGGAAGGGAUAAACGCUGAAAGCAUCUAAGUGUGAAACCCACCUCAAGAUGAGAUUUCCCAUGAUUAUAUAUCAGUAAGAGCCCUGAGAGAUGAUCAGGUAGAUAGGUUAGAAGUGGAAGUGUGGCGACACAUGUAGCGGACUAAUACUAAUAGCUCGAGGACUUAUCCAA
rnacentral:rRNA from 1 species